AAGUAUAAAGUGCCCUAUAGAGGGUACUAUUGCUCGAAUCAAGAAAGACAAAAACACGGGUCCUUUUAUUUUCCGAAUUCUUCAAGAAAAUGUAAAAAAAAUGGAAAAAAAAUCUUUUUGUACCUCCCUUAUUAGGUGAAUAAGAGAAAA